UUUAUGUCAUUGGUUUCUUUAGAUUUGUUCUCAGUUGAGUGAAAGAUUAGAGAAGCAGCAGACGGCUAAUAAAGUGGAAAUUGAGAAAAUUCGGCAAAAAGUGGACGACUGUGAGCGUUGCAGGGAAUUUUUCAACAAAGAAGGGCGGAUCAAGGGCAUCAGCUCAGCUGAGGAAGUGUCAGGUGAGGACACCGAUGAGGAGAAGGAGACACUCAAGAACCAGCUGAGAGAGAUGGAGCUGGAACUGGCCCAAACCAAGCUUCAGUUGGUGGAGGCUGAGUGUAAGAUCCAGGACUUGGAGCACCACCUAGGCCUCGCCCUAAACGAGGUGCAGGCGGCCAAGAAGACGUGGUUUAACCGAACACUGAGCUCCAUAAAGACGGCCACUGGGGUGCAAGGGAAGGAAACCUGCUGAGCGCGCUGCUGCCUCUAGGCAUCAUCAGAAAACACGACACCUUUGGUUGCCUUCUUUGGCCAGAUGUGUGAUUCUGAGAGACGUGUCCGGGACAGAACGCGGCGCGUCAGACCGAGAGGCGUGCCGGUAGGUCGCUGGGCGGAGGCGGCGGCCCCCGACUACUGACACGACAGCCUGCUCCCGCCGCGGCUCCGGACACGCUCAGAACACCACUGCUCGCGUGACCUCCCAGGCUGCUUCCCAGGGGAGGUCACCACGGCUCCCAGCCCACAGGCUGAGUGGGCAUUGUCCGAAUUUGGGGAUCUUUCAGGCUGUUGGUUUUUUUCUAAACCUUUAAUCUUUUUUUUAAAUAUACAUAUUAUAUAUAUAUAAUAUAUAUAGGGGGAGGGGGAAGGGGUGCAGGAAUUCUAAUAAUUCUUACUGUCUCCGUGCCGGCAGAGGGCCCCAAGGUAGAUAUGCAGAAGCACUUUGUUGGAGAUGGAGGGUCCCAUGGUUGCCGUUGAGGCCACCCAGUCUGAUUCUGUGUCCGAGGCAUCAGGCUUUGGUUUGGCAUUUCUCGCGUUCCUGGUCAAUUCUAUGCAACUCUUACUGUUCCUGUUUUUUUAGUGGUAGCUGCCAAAUUGACUGACAGGGUGACUCGACUGACCGUAAGACUGGGUCGAUCAUAACGUGGACAGACCCUACUUUCCGUCCCGUGUUGUGUGUGUACAUACGUGUAUAUAAAUACCCCAGUGCACUCGGCAGUGUUGAAACCCCCAACGAGGACUGACCUGCAUAAGUGGGUUUGUGCUCAUGUGGCACUUGGUUUCUGCCGGCCGUGUGUGCUUUGCUGUUACGUGAACACCCUCCCCUCACGGUUCCCAGUGGCUCUGCACAUGGGGCCGCGUCCGGUGGUGUGAAGGUGAGGCUGUGCUGUGAGCCGCCCACUCAGGCGGGCAUGUUCUCACUUCAACACUCUGGAAUGGGGUUUCGGCACCUUUAAACCUUUAAUUUAUGCUAUGUAGCGACAGGCGCUCUUGCAGAUGGAUGAUCGCAUCACCUCGGCCGCGCGUGGGGAUAGCUGGUCCGAGGCCGGGUUGUAAAUAGACACGUGGGUGGUUUCGCCUCUCCCCCGUGACUGUACUAACGCUCGCUGAGGUCGUCGACGAGGGGGACACACGAGUGGCGACCCCACCCGCCCUCCACUUUGUCUUUCUUGUUCAGUUACCAAGACACCUGUAAGCCCCUCCCAGCUCGGUGUGUGGCCCUUGUGCUAGGGUAGUUUCCGUGUGUCGACUUCAUGAAAUAUAAACCAGUAAAAUUGUAUUACUAUUUCUUUUGUUGGUUUUAUUUUAACAGCAUAUUCAUUAAAUAU